rnacentral:rRNA from 1 species
AUUGAACGCUGGCGGCAAGCCUAACACAUGCAAGUCGAACGAGUGGCGGACGGGUGAGUAAUGUCUGGGAACCUGCCUGAUGGAGGGGGAUAACUACUGGAAACGGUAGCUAAUACCGCAUACCAUCGGAUGUGCCCAGAUGGGAUUAGCUAGUAGGUGGGGUAAAGGCGCACCUAGGCGACGAUCCCUAUCUGGUCUGAGAGGAUGACCGGCCACACGGGAAAUGAGACACGGACCAGAAUCCUACGGGAGGCAGCAGUGGGGAAUAGUGGACAAUGGGCGCAAGCCUGAUGCAGCCAGGCCGCGUGUAUGAAGAAGGCCUUCGGGUUGUAAAGUACUUUCAGCGGGGAGGCGGUACCCGCAGAAGAAGCACCGGCUAACUACGUGCCAGCAGCCGCGGUAAUAC